rnacentral:rRNA from 1 species
GAUGAACGCUAGCUACAGGCUUAACACAUGCAAGUCGAGGGGCAACAUCGUCUUAGCUUGCUAAGGCCGAUGGCGACCGGCGCACGGGUGAGUAACACGUAUCCAACCUGCCGUUGACUCAUGGACAGCCUUCUGAAAGUAAGACUAAUACAAGAUGGCAUCAUCAGUGCGCAUGUUCACAUGAUUAGAGGUAUUCCGGUAGACGAGGGGGAUGCCAUCGAUUAGAUAGGAGGCGGGGUUACGGACCACCUAGUCUUCGAUUGAUAGGGGUUCUGAGAGGAAGGUCCCCCACAUUGGAACUGAGACACGGGCCAAACUCCUACGGGAGGCAGCAGUGAGGAAUAUUGGUCAAUGGGCGAGAGCCUGAACCAGCCAAGUAGCGUGAAGGAUGACUGCCCUAUGGGUUGUAAACUUCUUUUAUAAAGGCAUAAAGUCGGGUAUGGAUACCCGUUUGCAGGUACUGUAUGAAUAAGGACCGGCUAACUCCGUG